ACUUGUUGAUUAGACAAAGCGAUAUAAAUGCAAAAUAAAUAAAAAACCCAAAGUAUCUUUUCCGUGCAUUGAUUUUUACAGUAUACUGAUAGUGAAUAAGAUAAGAUUAUUGAACGAUUGUAACACAACGAGUUUCGACGUUGAGUUGUUAAUACCUUUUCUGUGUUAAUAGUUUAUAAAACAGCAAAAUGUGUUGCUGCGUCUGUAAUCUUCUAUGCAAAAUCCUCAGUGCAAUCUUCUCUUUAUUAUUCUUAGUUGCUGUUAUAUUACUCAUAUUAUGGGGAGUAGGAGUAAUAUUUCAGUAGCACUCAUAAAAACCUUCAAGAAAAUGAUGACGUAGAAGAAGUUUUUUACAUUCUGUGACUGUGAAUCAAUUUAUGUUAUUAAUGAAUUUUAAAAUAACAGCGAAGUUUAAAAUGUAAAAGCCAAAGAUUUUAUUAGACUUUUGACUGUUUAUUCUUAACUUUAUAUUUAUUAAAGGUCCAUCUAAAAUGUCCCAACUUUUUAUCGAUUUUUAAACCUCCUUUACUUCCUUUCUAUUAAAUAGUAUUUUGGUUAACGUUUCUAUAACUGUGCCUUUAUUAAUAAGACUGCGUAACAAUGACGAAAGUAUUAAAUAAAAAGUAAACAGACGCGUCAAAUUGUACACCUCUUUUUUGAAGUAGGUUAAAAAUAGAAUUACGUUUAUUAAAGCAGCAGUGAUAUUUU